rnacentral:misc_RNA from 1 species
GAUGAAGAACGUAGCGAAAUGCGAUAAGUAGUGUGAAUUGCAGAAUUCAGUGAAUCAUCGAAUCUUUGAACGCACAUUGCGCCUCCUGGUAUUCCGGGAGGCAUGCCUGUUCGAGCGUCAUUAAAAUCACUCAAGCUUAGGUUUACCUAUUGCUUGGUCUUGGAGAUGGAAGCCAAUUCAUUGGAAUCCUCUUCGAAAUCCAAUGGCGAAGACCCUUGCUCUCCCAAGUGUAGUAAUAACUUAUGUCACUGAAGGAAGCGAGAAAUCUUCCUACGUAACCCCCAUAUUUUCUAUGAUUGACCUCGGAUCAGGUAGGGAUACCCGCUGAACUUAAGCAUAUCAAUAAGCGGAGGA